GUGGAUACCAUGGUGUGGUUAUAAAAAAGAGAAAAAGACAAUUUUUUUUUUUAAAUAAAAUUAAAAACUCCUGAAGGACAUCCUCCUCUGGCUGAUACUGGCAAAGAGAGAGAGAGAGAGAUUUUAGUUAUCAAACACUGUCUGACAGUGACUAAUAACAAGUGCUAAGGUGCACUCCUAAACACACACACACACACACACACACACACACCUUAUACUUUGAAUGCAAGCAUUAGUUUAAAUUCACUGAUAUCGUGUCAGGCCAAAAGAUUUAUUACAACCAUUAACAUUUGAAUAAUUAUUAGUGACAUUUGGCUACAUGUUGCUGACAGGACACGGGCUGAAUGGCGAUGCAUGGAGGCCCAUUAGGAGGUAGUUUAUAACACUGCAUUGCAUUGGUGUCGUUAACAAAAAACUGGCUAUCGCUAACAUUACAUGGAGCAUAAUAGCUGGUUUCACGGCUUCAAUGCCAGCUGCCUCAAACAAACAUAAUAUAGGACCGUCUUUCAGGUGCUUCGCCAAAUUCCAGGUGUUUCCUUGCUUUGUUUGAAAUGAACGAUAGCAUCGGUUGCCGGUGUGCUUUCCUCUUUUUACCUCUCAACAAGUCAGGGCGGAGCUAAACUUGCUAAGCUAAGCUAAACUUCUGUAGUUUUUCCCGUGUGCUUGUAGGCGUUGUUCUUCUUCUUCACCACUUUUGGACUGACUAAAACACUUGGGCCUAUUUGCUGCCCCCUUCAGUUCCGGAAGAAUUGCAACCUCAGUACCUUCAUUAUCAAGGGUACUUAUACUACUGCAGAAAAAGAAGUACCAUCACGUUUUAAGAAUGUUGGUACUGACUUGGUACCGAAGUAUCGGUUCUCGUGACAGCCCUAAUAAGGAAAACAUAUCUUAUAUUAGGACCAAUAUGGUAAUGUUGACCCCUAGAUGCGUAACAUAGCAUGGGUACCAUGUGUAGCGGUAAUUAGCAUUUCAUAGCCCCAUAAGCCAUAUUAGAAUUAGUAAUGAGUUUUAUGUUCAAUAAACAUUGACGAUCUUAGAAUUUUGAUUUACUAACUAUAUCUACAUUUCCUAUACUAACUCAAUACUAAUUUCCAAAAGAGCAUCGUGAACAGAAGUAUCCCUUGCACCCAGUGGUGGCAUGAAGUGUAGCAGAUGAUACUCCUUGUAAAUAAAUGAAAAGUUCAAAUCAUGAGAGACCAGUGAAUGAAGUAAAGAUAAUUGUUCAUUGAACAAAUGAUGGAGAUGAUCACAAACAAGCAAGCCUAUUUGGAGCAUGUGGGGUGGCUGGUGAGGUCAUCGCUUAUAACUUAAUGUCUAAUAUUUUAAAAACGUAGGGGAAGACUCAGAGCUGUUAUCUUGGCAAAGGGAGGUAGCAUACAGUAUUGACUAACAGGGUUUAAUAAUUUUGCACACCUUUAUUUAACAAAGUUUUUUUUUUUUUUGAUAAACCUGUGUUUUGUUUGCAAUUGUUUGAUAUCCAUAAGAGCAGAGGGUUUUUUGUGAAUUCUUUGAACAAAAGAUCGGUGUUAAGCAAUAAAGACAAUUUUUCAUAGCCUUCUUUGCUCAUAUUUACCAAUAUUAGUGGAGGGAACGGUACAUGUGCAAAAAAAGGUGCAUGUGCAAUGUAAACAUGGAAAAAUGUGUAUGUAUUAAUAUUUACAUUUUGUAAUCAAAUAUAAAUACUAACAAUUUGUACAUCCUGAAACUUCUAUUACAAGAAUUUUUAUUAAGCACUUAGUAGCAUCUGUCUGUUUCUGUGGUUAAAAUUUAAGUGAUAUUCUAGUGGUCAUAUAGCACUCUAUGUGGGUUCUACAACACAGUUACAUCCUGCCCCAUGUCGAGAGAAGUGCUAGAAAAGAGGAAAUCAUUUAAGAUUCUGCAUUUAAAAAAAAAAAAAAAAAAAAAAACAGUAAAGAAAAUGGGGGCUUCUCACACAUGUGUUAAAAGAACUCUUUAUUCAUUCCUGAGUUGUAGUGCAGUAUUGUAAAGUGUUACUGAUUUUUUAGUUUUAUUAGUCUGCAAUCUGAAUUAACAUCGGCAAGUCAAUGUAGCAGCAAUGUAGUAGGGAAUAAAAAUGUACUUUUACUGUUAGUCCCAGAAUCAAACUCGGUGUUUACUCAGGUAAGCUGGUUGCACACUGUGCGAUUUUUAAAAGUCCUUCGCAACUCUUGCUUGUCAGACUGUACGAACAUCAUCCCUGCUGUAAGUCAUGUCACACUGUAGGAUCUCGGUUGUCAUUAAUUUCAGACUGUAUGACAGUCAAGACACGAAAAACAGAUGCACGCAAGAAAACUCGUACGGAGUAGGAGAAGCCACACUACAGGAUGGUGCCUCAAAUCUUCUGACACUACCAGAAUUUAAUCUGAGGAAAAAUUUUAUCACUACGGCCAUUAAUUGGCUAAAAGGCUGAAAUGCAGCAUUUCAGAGCAAAACUAUGAAGGCUUAAGCACAAACUCCUCCUUUUCAGUAGUUAUUACUGCUGAGGAAUUUACUGCUUUUCAAAUAUUAAAAAUAAAUUUAAUAUCAUGCCUCUGCAUAAACAAGUGCAACUGGAAAUACAUUGGGGGUGGGGCUCAUGAAACAUGUUGGGCAAGAGAACAGAUAAACAAGCUAGUACAGUUCAGAUUAAUUAAAAGGUCCAAAUGCUGCAGGUUACAUGAAAACAAAGUAAAAGUGUCUACUCAGAUCUAGUUAAUAUACUUUUUACAAAUUGUCAUGCAUAUUAUCUAGAAAGAAAAAUAAUAUUUUCUAUGCAUAGUAAAACAUAUUACAUAUAAAACAGUUACAAUAUUAAAGGGUAUGCCACUCUAUGAAAAUCUCUUUCUCUUUUUUUGGCUUUUGUAAUCUGGCAUGGUACAUUCAAAGCCAUCCUAGAUUUACUCAAUGGGUGUGUUCUGGUGUAUAGAGUGCAAAUCAGCCAAAACAUCUGUGGCCCAUGCCAGAGGUAACUAAGGAGCAAUUCCAACAAAGUCACUGUUUGUCUAAGCCACUAGUAAAUAUAGCUUAUUUCCGUGAUUAUACCUCCCUUCUCAUUUUAUGAUUUCUGCCAAACCAUGCAGCCUAGAUUUCUCUGUUUAAUGCCACUUUGGGGGCCGUGCCCUGGAAAAUUUUGGGAACCACUGAUCUAGACAUUUAAAUUCAAUGGUAGGCUGGAAUAACAAUAAACAUUCUUUAUCUUGGUCUUAAAAAAUGCAGCUGCAUGGAGAUCGCAACAGAAUGAAUAGCUGCUUUAUAUGAAACAGAAGUGAAUACGAUCCCAGUUGCAUAUGUGUGUGUGUGUGUGUGUGUGUGUGUGUGUGUGUGUGUGUGUCCUGCUAAACAUAUUGUUAUGGAUGGCAUAUUAUCAGAUUGAAACUAAAUUCCAGAAAGUCUGAGUUGCUGUACAUAACUGGAGUUAACUGGCAUCCCCACAUUGAGAUUUUGUGACUUCCCUGUACAGCAACCAGAUCAUCCCAGCCUUUGGGUAGUCCUGGGCAACUAUCUAUCUUUCUCACCUCACACUGCUAACCUGACAAUCAUUUAUAAAGGUUUCUUCUUUAUAACUAUCGUGAACUGCUCCAGAAUGCAGCUGCAAGCCCGGUUUUCAAUCUUCCCAAGCAUCUUAUUGCUACAUUCCCUCUUACAGCUUUCGACGUCAGAUUUAAAACACUCAUGCUCCCCUACAAUGCCAAAAACAGGCGCUUAACACCUUACUCUGCUCCAUAUUCCCUCCGAGUGUCUAGCAUGGACUGACUCAUGGAGCUGCACACAGUUGCUGAACAUAACCAUUGCAGUCCAACCUAAUAUUGGUUCCUUUCUUCUAACUCUUCCUUCCACUUCCAUGUUGCCAAAGUUGUCAAUAAUGAGUCUGGAUUGGACAAUACCAAUAGUGAAUAGUGAUUCAUUGUCACAGCACCACCACUUCCUGGGAACAGGAAGUGAGGCUUACUCAGAAAACAGUACUUCUACUUCGUUACAUUGGACUAUACACCAUCGCUACUUUUACUUGACUAGAAUUUAUUUUUAUUUAAAUUUUUACACUCGGCUGCUUUGGAGUUCUCCUUCAGCGAAUUUCCAACUGAGAGAGUAAGCCUCAGCAGCACCACAAAAUUAGCAGAGGAGUAGCUUGUGUAACUGAAGACAAAUGUACGUGUGUCACCCUCAAAGGAGAAUCUACAUCCCUUGCCUUUUAAAUGACAGGAAACAAUAGUCAUAUUAUGUGCUGCUAACUUUGUUGACAUAAAACUGUGAAUAUCUCAAGCUUCAAAAACAGCACAUCUAAUCUGAGAAAGCAUGUAAUGGUAAGUAAUUUUGGCUAGGCAAUCUAAUGACUGUACUGCUAGAUAUCAAAGUUAACUAAUUCAGCUAGCUCAUCUAGCAUACAUUAUAUAUGUUCAAAGUUCAGUGAUAACUUGCAAACUGCAGAGACAAUCUCCAUGGUAAUGGUAGGGUUAUGUGUCCAAAUGCACCUGCCUUUUAUGCAUUUAACAUACAAAAAAACAUUCCAUACACUUUAGUGUAGGUUUCUCACGCCAAAGUUAGACUAGGUGUAAUCAGAGACAGUUAUGCCAAUGGUAACGGUACAUUAUGUACCCAAAUGCUCCUGCCUUUUAUGCAUUAAACGUACAACAUUAUUUACAACAAUGUUUAAUUUGUUUUGCAAUCAAAUUAUGAAUUAUGCAUCAAGGCCUUGAUGCUCACAUACAAGACCUAGGAUUAGUCUCUCCUUGUGUUCUCUCAUGCAAUCUGUGAUUGGUUAAUGACCGACGCUUAGUAAUGCCUACUCAGCGUGACUCAAGGUUCCUUUCCAGAACCUUCACACUAACUGUUCCUCAGUGGUGGAAUGAACUUCCAACCUCAAUCCGGACCACAGAAUCUGUCACAUUUUCAAAACAACAGCUAAAGACCAACCUAUUCCAUGAGCACGUAACUAACCCCUAAAAUGCUAAACCCCACAUUAUUUAUAAAAAUAAAUAAAUAAAUAAAAAGUAAAAAUAAAUAAAUAAAUAAAUAAAAUUUACUCUGGCACUUACAGCUCUACUCUUUGCUUCUCUAGAACUCAAUUAUAAAUCUUGUAUGGUAGCACUACUUGUAUUGUUCUCCACUUGAUAUAUCGCUUUGCAUGUAUUUCCUCAUUUAUAAGUAGCUUUGGAUAAAAGUGUCUGCUAAAUGAAAAAUGUAAAUGUAGAUGCCAAGUAUCAAGUAUGCACAUGCACAAUGCAGACUGUAUCUGAGCCUCUGUUUUAAGGAUUCAGUUUAGUUUUUGUUUUGAUGUUACUUUCUGUUGCUUAACAACAUAUAUUUUGGCAUUUGCCUGGUCAUGUUUAAUAAAUUGCAAAAUAUGAAGUUACUCACUAGUCACUAUAGUAGUUUUUUUUAUAAGAAGCUUUUUAACUCUUACUCAAAUACUUAUCUUUAUCAGUACUUUUAUUUCUACUUGAGUCAUUAUAAGUAAAAGUAACAAUACUUUUACUUGAGUAGUGUUUCUGUUUACUCUACCCACAACUGGUCAUUGACUGCAAAUGAUUUACAUCCAAGUAUGAAAAAUAAUAUUAACAACAACAACAACAAUAAUAAUAAUAAUCUUUAUUUUAUAGAACGGUUUUAAAAGCAGCUUCUCAAAGCACUGUAAACAAAAUAAGCAGUACACAGAAAAAAUUAAAAUUGAUAAAAGUUAAUAAUAAUAAUAAAAGUAGACAUCAGCAGUCAAAUGCCAGUUUAAAAAAAAGUAUGUCUUGAGUUGAGCUUUAACAAUGCCAAAGGUCUGAGCUUCCCUAAAUUCAAGAGGAAGAGAGUUCCAAAGGGAAGGAGCAGAGACAGAAAAAGCCCUGUCACCCAUAGAUUUUAAGCGAGUUUGUGGAACAGUUAACAAAUUACACUGUGAGGAGCGCAGUCUGCGAUUUGGGGUGUAAGAGAUUAAUAAAGCAGAUAUGUAAUUAGGAGCCAAGCCAUGUAAUGCUUUGUAUGUCAGCAUCAUAAUUUUAAAAUCGACAUGGAAGCUGACCGGGAGCCAGUGCAAGGAGUCCGGAACAGGAGUAAUACGAUUGUAUUUCCUGGUCCCAGUCAGGAUCCGGGCAGCAGAGUUUUGUAGACGUUUAUUGAGUGUGGAUUUAGACACUCCGGCUAAAACGGCAUUACAAUAAUCUAGCCGAGUGACAACAAAUGAGAUUAUCUGCCUUUCAGCUACAGAGAAGUUUAGCAUGGGCCGCAGUCUUGCUAUAUUUCUGAGGUGAAAAAAGGAUGUUAAUGAUAAUGUUUAAUGAUAAUCCUGAUGUUUAUGAUUGUUAGUUUAUCCAAUUACUUUUGAGUCUGUGAAAAUGGAGGGACUAAAAGGUUAAUGAAAUGUUUUUUUGUUAAACCCCUUGAAUUAAAGCUGAAAGUCUACACUUCAAUCAUAUCUUGAUUGCUUCAUUUCAAAUCCACUGUGGUGGUGUACAGAGGAAAAAUGUAUAAUUAAUAUAAAUAUAAUAAAUAAAUUUGCAUGUGAUGACUCAUAAUUCCACUCAAAUGAAAUGUGCUGAUAAAGAGUAAAAUUUCUGACUUGACAGACACCUUCUGAAAGUGUUGUUUAAUUCCACUGUAGGCCAUAAAGUGUGGAUCAAAGUUCUCUGGAUAAGUGAGUCUGCCAAAUGCUGUAAGACACAUGCCUACCAAAGAUUGUAGUGGAUGGGAGAGGUCAGAGGAACAGCACAGGUUCCCAACCUUCGACCUGGAGUACCCUCUGUCUUAACUAACUGGCUAACAGUUUCCUGAGCUGAAGUAGGUGUGGUAGGGCAAGGAGAACACUAACAUGCUGUAUCUGUCGCUGUAAUGCACUAAUGGAAAAUCUUAUCUGAUUAUUUUUGCUGCCUAAAUCCUCUGUUUUGUUUUUAAUGCGCAACAAAUGGAUCUUUAGUAUACAGUGCACCAAACAUUACAUCAUACGGUGUUGUAUGUGUUAAUGUUGUAUGUCUUAUCUACUGUAGUAAAUCUUAGCCCUCCUUAGAAAAUAUUCUGAUCCAACCCUAGUGCAUUUGCAUUCCCUAAACUUUGUAACCAAAUCUUUGGCAACAUGUGUAUCUAUUAUUGUUUGGCAGGUCAAUAAAUGAGCCUGAAGCAGAAAUAAAAUCAAGACACUUCGUAUCUCAGAGCAGUCGGCAGUGAUAUGCUUUAAAAU
ensembl:lncRNA